GCAGGCGGACAUUUAAGUGAGAUGUGAAAUACCCGGGCUUAACCCGGGCAGUGCAUUUCAAACUGGGUGUCUGGAGUGCAGGAGAGGAGAACGGAAUUCCUAGUGUAGCGGUGAAAUGCGUAGAGAUUAGGAAGAACACCAGUGGCGAAGGCGGUUCUCUGGACUGUAACUGACGCUGAGGCACGAAAGCGUGGGUAGCAAACAGGAUUAGAUACCCUGGUAGUCCACGCCGUAAACGAUGAGUACUAGGUGUAGGAGGUAUCGACCCCUUCUGUGCCGCAGUAAACACAAUAAGUACUCCGCCUGGGAAGUACGAUCGCAAGAUUAAAACUCAAAGGAAUUGACGGGGGCCCGCACAAGCAGCGGAGCAUGUGGUUUAAUUCGAAGCAACGCGAAGAACCUUACCUGGACUUGACAUCCCCUGCAUAUCUCAGAGAUGAGAGAAGCCCUUCGGGGCAGGGAGACAGGUGGUGCAUGGUUGUCGUCAGCUCGUGUCGUGAGAUGUUAGGUUAAGUCCUGCAACGAGCGCAACCCCUGUUGUUAGUUGCUAACAGUAAGAUGAGCACUCUAACGAGACUGCCGCGGUUAACGCGGAGGAAGGUGGGGAUGACGUCAAAUCAUCAUGCCCCUUAUGUCCAGGGCAACACACGUGCUACAAUGGGCAGAACAGAGAGAAGCAAGGCCGCGAGGUGGAGCGAACCUCAAAAACUGUUCCCAGUUCGGAUUGCAGGCUGAAACCCGCCUGCAUGAAGCUGGAGUUGCUAGUAAUCGCGAAUCAGCAUGUCGCGGUGAAUACGUUCCCGGGCCUUGUACACACCGCCCGUCACACCAUGAGAGCCGGCAACACCCGAAGUCCGUAGUCUAACGAAAGAGGACGCGGCCGAAGGUGGGGUUGGUGAUUGGGGUGAAGUCGUAACAAGGUAGCCGUAGGAGAACCUGCGGCUGGAUCACCUCCUUUCUA
rnacentral:rRNA from 1 species